rnacentral:rRNA from 1 species
GAACGCGAAGAACCUUACCAGGUCUUGACAUCCCUCUGACCACUCUAGAGAUAGAGAUUUCCUUCGGGACAGAGGUGACAGGUGGUGCAUGGUUGUCGUCAGCUCGUGUCGUGAGAUGUUGGGUUAAGUCCCGCAACGAGCGCAACCCCUAUUGUUAGUUGCCAUCAUUUAGUUGGGCACUCUAGCGAGACUGCCGGUAAUAAACCGGAGGAAGGUGGGGAUGACGUCAAAUCAUCAUGCCCCUUAUGACCUGGGCUACACACGUGCUACAAUGGCUGGUACAACGAGUCGCAAGUCGGUGACGGCAAGCUAAUCUCUUAAAGCCAGUCUCAGUUCGGAUUGUAGGCUGCAACUCGCCUACAUGAAGUCGGAAUCGCUAGUAAUCGCGGAUCAGCACGCCGCGGUGAAUACGUUCCCGGGUCUUGUACACACC